AAGCGCGCGCGGCUUCGUUUUGCGACGCUGGCGGAAGCGCUUUGUGGCAGCGGGGGCGCGAGAUUCGAUGAUACUUGUCGAAAGGCUGAGAGGACUGGGGGUGCUCAGCCUGGAGAAUGAAAGAGUUCAGGAAGACGCUACAGCACCUUCCAGUGUCUAAAGGGGCUACAAGAGAGCUGGAGAGGGACUUUGGACAAGGGCAUGUAGUGUCAGGGCAAGGGAGAAUGACUUUAAACUGACAGAAAGCAGGUUUAGAUUAGAUAUUAGGAAGAAAUUCUUUACUGUGAGAAUGGUGAGGCACUGUCACAGGUUGCCCAGAGAAGCAGUGGAUGCCCCAGCCGUGGAAUUGUUCCGGGACAGGUUGGAUGGGGCUUUGAAGAAUUUGUUUUAGUGGAAGGUGUCCCUGCCCAUGGCAGGCUGUUGGAACUAGAUCAUUUCUAAGGUCCCUUCCAACCCAAGCAAUUUAAUUAUGUUACAGAAUUAAAACCUUAUUUUGAAUGAAA